AAUGAACGCAAGCGACAGGCCUAACACAUGCAAGUCGAGGGGCAGCAUAGAGGUAGCAAUACUUUGGUGGCGACCGGCGCACGGGUGAGUAACACGUAUGCAACCUACCUGUAAGAGGGGAAUAACCCGGAGAAAUUCGGACUAAUACCGCAUAAAACCACGAAUUCGCAUGGAUUUGUGUUUAAACAUUUAUGGCUUACAGAUGGGCAUGCGUAUGAUUAGCUAGUUGGUAGGGUAACGGCCUACCAAGGCAACGAUCAUUAGGGGUUCUGAGAGGAAGGUCCCCCACACUGGUACUGAGACACGGACCAGACUCCUACGGGAGGCAGCAGUGAGGAAUAUUGGUCAAUGGGCGAGAGCCUGAACCAGCCAAGUCGCGUGAAGGAAGAAGGUUCUAUGGAUUGUAAACUUCUUUUGUAAGGGAAUAAAAAGAGUUACGUGUAACUUAUUGUAUGUACUUUACGAAUAAGGAUCGGCUAACUCCGUGCCAGCAGCCGCGGUAAUAC
rnacentral:rRNA from 1 species